GCUGGUGUAGCUCAGCAGGUAGAGCGGCGCACUCGUAAUGCGUAGGUCAGCGGUUCGAUUCCGCUCACCAGCUCCA
rnacentral:tRNA from 1 species